CAGGAUGCCCUGUUAAAUUUAAAUUUCAGAUAAACAACAAAGAAUUUUUAGUAUAUCUCAUACAAUAUUUGGGACACACUUAUACUAAAAAUUAUUUACUGUUCAUCUGAAAUUCAAAUUCAACUGGGUAUCCUGCA
rnacentral:miRNA from 1 species